rnacentral:rRNA from 1 species
AUCUAUGACCAUGCCACCCUGAACAAGCCCAAUCCUGUCUGAUCUCAGAAGCUAAGCAGGGUCGAGCCUGGUUAGUACCUGGAUGGGAGACCACCUAGGAAAAUCAGAUGCUGUAGGCA